GUUCUUAAGUGGAUGGCGUUCUUUCUACAAGUUGUGGCACGUUCCAGUAGGGAAAGUCUUUUGCCAAGCAGGUGGGGGCACAUGUGUGGCUGGAGAGUGCCUAUGGGUUGAUUCCUUUGUGAAUUACAUGGAGCUGACACAGCUGAAACCCACUAUGACCCAGAUGAGGACAGAAGCUUGUGCUGGAAGAGUGGCUGUGUCCCUAUGUGACAAGGCCUGAGAUGUCCUAAGGACUGUAUACCUCAGUGGGUUUGGACUAAACCACCAGAAUGCACAGCCAUCCUGCAUUCACUUCUCUCACCUCUCCAGCACCAUACUAAUAACGCCCAACUCCCG
rnacentral:lncRNA from 1 species